rnacentral:rRNA from 1 species
CCUAGCCUUGGAGUGGGGAAUAACAGCUGGAAACAGCUGCUAAUACCGCAUGAUAUGUCUGUAUCACAUGGUACUGGACAUCAAAGAUCUAUCGCUCUGAGAUGGGCUCGCGUCUGAUUAGCUAGUUGGUGGGGCAACGGCCCACCAAGGCGACGAUCAGUAGCCGGACUGAGAGGUUGGCCGGCCACAUUGGGACUGAGACACGGCCCAGACUCCUACGGGAGGCAGCAG